GCUUCACUAAAUGUACGAUAAAAGCCCCGCCUACUAAUCCAAACGGAACUUACUGUCAGUUAAGCGGAGCUGUUCAUAACGGCGGCAGGGCAGGGUUCGCAUGUGGUUCUAGCAGUAUAGCACGCCAAUUUUCGAAUAAUCAAGAUUAUUCCAAAUAAUAACACUACUCGGCAACUUACAUCCGCAGUCUUCGCAAGAGAAACGGUUAUAACGUACGAAAGCAGUGUUAGAGCCGAGAGGAUAUGGUUUCACAAGGCUGUGGUAUGUAUGAGGAUGGUGACAGUGCGGAUCUGGUAUUACGUUUUUGUCUCGUGGUGGAGUAGAAUUACCGUGGGAUGGCUCUUGGCAUUCUUUGGUGUUUGGUGUGUGCUAGAAGUUAUUGCGGAUGGAUUGCGUACAUAUGCAAGUGAGUGCAGAAAUUCUUGUGCAAUCUGGAUACCUGCAAGCUAUGCACUUUCUCUUCGACGACCUCGAGAGCUGGAAAUGCAGGUUGCGUCGUCUCGGAUUGGACCAUUCUUUGGUGAGGGCACGCAACACCCUUGUCUUGUAGCACGAUUUCUACGAUGUACCCGAAGGGCUGCAUUGCUGGAAGGCUGGUGCAGGGAACUUCACCUUGCAAUUUCGACAGAAUGGACAGCAUGAGCAGGUCAGCACUCGUCCGUGAGCUUUCUUUCAAUAUUUCCCGCUGAUCUUCCAAUGCGCAGUAUCAAGUGCCACAGGCAGCGAAUGUCACGUUCCGGAUCCAUCAUCGCCUUACCAGCAGCAUGACGUCACCUGGGCCAACCUCUCAGAUAUACUAAUGGAGUGGACGUCCAAAAGCCAUCCUGGAUCACAUAAAGCCUCCCCCGCUGUUGAGGCUUUUGAGUGGGAGCGGCAGCUUCAUAGCGACUUGUCGCUUAUGCACGGCUGGCUUGCACUUCAGGUGCGGAGGAGAGAGGUGUAGGAGACCUGCCACACGAGAGCUCCGUGGUCGUCGCCACAAGGCCCCCUGGAGCUCCCUGGCUGUUGCUACUAUGCCCUCUAGAACUCCCUGACCGUCAACGCAAUGCCAUCUGGACGGCUGCAAACUAUGUAUGAGCCCCCCCCCCCCCUCUCUUCCACAGAAGCAUUGCAAAAGCUGUAGCGCUUACCUUUGUACUCCCCUGAAACAUCCCAGAUAAAACAUAUGUACAGCAUUUCCUCGUGCCAUCUGUUGCUGGGGCCUGGCCGCUGACUACCACAAGAAUCUAGGCGCCCCUUCCACCUUAUCAAGAAUCUGGAACUUCGGAACAGCUGUGACUCAUCUCUGACGUCACGACGACAAGAGUGCCACCACAGCCUGAAAACAGCCCUGAAAACUUCAGUCUACGGAUUCAUGGCCAUCAAUCUCAGUGGUUACGCUGUGCCUCAUUUCUACAUAGGCGCUUUUCCCCGGGUCAUGUCUUGCAAGGCCCUUCUAACUACAUCGCAAGUUUAGACAAAGCCUCUGUGUCCUUUUCACCACUACUUGGAAUGAAAGUAGCUUGGCAGCUCAAGGUAUACUGUACAGCCGACAAGUGAACGAAGAUGUGGGUGACUUUUUUAGUGGAGACGUACAACGACCGAGUGGUAUUCAAAGGCUACCAAGUCCAGGAUGAUCUCCCUUUGGACACAACAACGGACUGAACAUCCCACGUCUUGGUUUGACUUCCUUGUACAGGAUACUUGCACCCGGCAUGGAGUGAUGAAGCAGGAGGGUGUACUUAAAAGCACAUUUCUGAGCAGUCUAGCAGCAGUUCAUCAACAAAAAGAUGCGUGCUGAAAAUAAAUAGUUCCUGCCCACAG